UUCUCCCGGGGUCCUCCUGUCAAUCUAAACACGAACCUGCUGACAGUUUAUAAUCAUAUGGAUGCUGUUAUAAUGUGCUGUGAUUGAGAUCCUGACUCACCAAACAUCCUGGAAAGUGACAAAGUUAAAUUUUUUGCUCUAAAUUACAUAAUUAAAUAAUCGCAAUCAGUAAACUGGACCCUGUCUGACUCUGUCACUCGCAGGGAGGGAGGCUGUUUUCUGGGGGAAAGUUCACUGAAGUCUCGGUCCGGAGGGCUGACCGUCACCAUGAGAACACAAUAGUGGAUGGAGACAAAGACUUGGGAGGGAGGCUGUUUUCUGGGGGAAAGUUCACUGAAGUCUCGGUCCGG
rnacentral:lncRNA from 1 species